UGGGGAAUAUUGCACAAUGGGCGCAAGCCUGAUGCAGCCAUGCCGCGUGUAUGAAGAAGGCCUUCGGGUUGUAAAGUACUUUCAGCGGGGAGGAAGGGAGUAAAGUUAAUACCUUUGCUCAUUGACGUUACCCGCAGAAGAAGCACCGGCUAACUCCGUGCCAGCAGCCGCGGUAAUACGGAGGGUGCAAGCGUUAAUCGGAAUUACUGGGCGUAAAGCGCACGCAGGCGGUUUGUUAAGUCAGAUGUGAAAUCCCCGGGCUCAACCUGGGAACUGCAUUCGAAACUGGCAGGCUAGAGUCUUGUAGAGGGGGGUAGAAUUCCAGGUGUAGCGGUGAAAUGCGUAGGGAUCUGGAGGAAUACCGGUGGCGAAGGCGGCCCCCUGGACAAAGACUGACGCUCAGGUGCGAAAGCGUGGGGAGCAAACAGG
rnacentral:rRNA from 1 species